rnacentral:rRNA from 1 species
CCUACGGGCGGCAGCAGUGAGGAAUAUUGGUCAAUGGCCGGAAGGCUGAACCAGCCAAGCCGCGUGAAGGACGAAGGUGCCAAGCAUUGUAAACUUCUUUUGUCAAGGGACAAAAUCAGGCUCGAGAGCCUGACCGAGGGUACUUGAAGAAAAAGCAUCGGCUAACUCCGUGCCAGCAGCCGCGGUAAUACGGAGGAUGCGAGCGUUAUCCGGAUUUAUUGGGUUUAAAGGGUGCGUAGGGGGACUGUUAAGUCAGCGGUAAAAGCCCGGGGCUCAACCCCGGCGAGCCGUUGAAACUGGCUGUCGUGAGAGUACGAGAGGUAUGCGGAAUGCGCAGUGGAGCGGUGAAAUGCUUAGAGAGUGCGCAGAACUCCGAUUGCGAAGGCAGCAUACCGGCGGCGAUCGGACGCUGAGGCACGAAAGCGUGGGUAUCGAACAGGAUUAGAUACCCCUGUAGUC